rnacentral:rRNA from 1 species
CAGUCGAGACUACCUACGGGAGGCAGCAGUGGGGAAUAUUGCACAAUGGGCGCCAAGCCUGAUGCAGCCAUGCCGCGUGUGUGAAGAAGGCCUUCGGGUUGUAAAGCACUUUCAGUUGUGAGGAAGGUGGUGUCGUUAAUAGCGGCAUCAUUUGACGUUAGCAACAGAAGAAGCACCGGCUAACUCCGUGCCAGCAGCCGCGGUAAUACGGAGGGUGCGAGCGUUAAUCGGAAUUACUGGGCGUAAAGCGCAUGCAGGUGGUUUGUUAAGUCAGAUGUGAAAGCCCCGGGGCUCAACCUCGGAACUGCAUUUGAAACUGGCAGACUAGAGUACUGUAGAGGGGGGUAGAAUUUCAGGUGUAGCGGUGAAAUGCGUAGAGAUCUGAAGGAAUACCGGUGGCGAAGGCGGCCCCCUGGACAGAUACUGACACUCAGAUGCGAAAGCGUGGGGAGCAAACAGGAUUAGAUACCCUGGUAG